rnacentral:rRNA from 1 species
UACGUAGGCAGCAAGCGUUGUUCGGAAUUACUGGGCGUAAAGAGUGUGUAGGCGGUGCUCUAAGUCUGUUGUGAAAUCUCCCGGCUUAACUGGGAGGGUGCAGCGGAAACUGGAAUGCUCGAGUAUGGGAGAGGUAAGCGGAAUUCCUGGUGUAGCGGUGAAAUGCGUAGAUAUCUGGAGGAACACCGGUGGCGAAGGCGGCAUCCUGGACCGAUACUGACGCUGAGACGCGAAAGCGUGGGGAGCGAACAGG